AUACGGAGGGUGCAAGCGUUAAUCGGAAUUACUGGGCGUAAAGCGUACGUAGGCGGCAAGUUAAGUUAGAUGUGAAAGCCCCGGGCUCAACCUGGGAACUGCAUUUAAAACUGGCUUGCUAGAGUUGAGUAGAGGGGAGUGGAAUUUCAGGUGUAGAGGUGAAAUGCGUAGAGAUCUGAAGGAACACCAGUGGCGAAGGCGACUCCCUGGACUCGAACUGACGCUGAGGUACGAAAGCGUGGGUAGCAAACGGGAUUAGAAACCCUAGUAGUCC
rnacentral:rRNA from 1 species